AACGAACGCUGGCGGCAGGCUUAACACAUGCAAGUCGAACGGACGUAGCAAUACGUUAGUGGCAGACGGGUGAGUAACGCGUGGGAAUAUGCCCUUUAGUUCGGAAUAACUCAGGGAAACUUGAGCUAAUACCGGAUAAGCCCGAGAGGGGAAAGAUUUAUCGCUGAAGGAGUAGCCCGCGUCUGAUUAGCUAGUUGGUGAGGUAAUGGCUCACCAAGGCGACGAUCAGUAGCUGGUCUGAGAGGAUGAUCAGCCACACUGGGACUGAGACACGGCCCAGACUCCUACGGGAGGCAGCAGUGGGGAAUAUUGGACAAUGGGGGCAACCCUGAUCCAGCCAUGCCGCGUGAGUGAUGAAGGCCUUAGGGUUGUAAAGCUCUUUUGUCCGGGAAGAUAAUGACUGUACCGGAAGAAUAAGCCCCGGCUAACUUCGUGCCAGCAGCCGCGGUAA
rnacentral:rRNA from 1 species